rnacentral:rRNA from 1 species
AUUGAACGCUGGCGGCAGGCCUAACACAUGCAAGUCGAGCGGAUGAAGGGAGCUUGCUCCUGGAUUCAGCGGCGGACGGGUGAGUAAUGCCUAGGAAUCUGCCUGGUAGUGGGGGAUAACGUCCGGACACGGGCGCUAAUACCGCAUCCGUCCUGAGGGAGAAAGUGGGGGAUCUUCGGACCUCACGCUAUCAGAUGAGCCUAGGUCGGAUUAGCUAGUUGGUGGGGUAAAGGCCUACCAAGGCGACGAUCCGUAACUGGUCUGAGAGGAUGAUCAGUCACACUGGAACUGAGACACGGUCCAGACUCCUACGGGAGGCAGCAGUGGGGAAUAUUGGACAAUGGGCGAAAGCCUGAUCCAGCCAUGCCGCGUGUGUGAAGAAGGUCUUCGGAUUGUAAAGCACUUUAAGUUGGGAGGAAGGGCAGUAAGUUAAUACCUUGCUGUUUUGACGUUACCAACAGAAUAAGCACCGGCUAACUUCGUG